rnacentral:rRNA from 1 species
AGAGUUUGAUCCUGGCUCAGAACGAACGCUGGCGGCAGGCCUAACACAUGCAAGUCGAGCGCCCGCAAGGGAGCGGCAGACGGGUGAGUAACGCGUGGGAACGUGCCCUUUGGUUCGGAAUAUUCCCGGGAAACUGGGAGCAAAACCGGAUAAGCCCUUCGGGGGAAAGUUUACGCCAAAGGAUCGGCCCGCGUUAGAUUAGGUAGUUGGUGGGGUAACGGCCUACCAAGCCUACGAUCUAUAGCUGAUCUGAGAGGAUGAUCAGCCACACUGGGACUGAGACACGGCCCAGACUCCUACGGGAGGCAGCAGUGGGGAAUCUUGGACAAUGGGCGCAAGCCUGAUCCAGCCAUGCCGCGUGGAUGACUGAAGGCCUUAGGGUUGUAAAGUCCUUUCGACGGGGACGAUAAUGACGGUACCCGUAGAAGAAGCCCCGGCUAACUUCGUGCCAGCAGCCGCGGUAAUACGAAGGGGGCUAGCGUUGUUCGGAUUUACUGGGCGUAAAGGGCGCGUAGGCGGAUUUUUAAGUCGGGGGUGAAAUCCCGGAGCUCAACUCCGGAACUGCCUUCGAUACUGGAAGUCUGGAGCACGGUAGAGGUGAGUGGAAUUCCGAGUGUAGCGGUGAAAUGCGUAGA